CACACCUGGAGGAUAAAACACACCUGUAAUCUGGGUGAUCAACAUGUUGUACUGCGGGGAAGUGAUGAGGAACGGACGGACACUGAAGGAAGGAAAACAGGACCGGAAGGGCACUGGAAAGACUUGAUGAAACUUCUCUCUUUGUACUACGGAGCCCCUGAAGGGUCACGGCGAGAACAUUUUUGAGGACUGCUUUAGCAUUACCUCUGAUGUGUCUCACCUGUGCGUGCUCCCUACCUGCUCGUUUGCCUGUGUAUAAAUGUUCUGUUCAGACUCUGUCUGGUUAGAGUUGCUUGUUGAAGCUUCUGUUAGUGUUCUGAAUUUUUGGGCUCAAUCUGUUCUGCUUGGACCUUUCAUUCAUAGAGUUAAACCUUGUUUUGGACUUUGCUACAUGUAAGUUAGGGAAUCUUGUUUUUGUUCAUUUAAACUUCACAAACUGAAUCUCUGCCUUUGUGUUUGGGUCCAAAACUCACGUGACCAACAUUGACACUUUUAUACACUUUGUAAAUUUAAAAUACUAUUAUCACUCCGGCUUGGCUGAAUACUUAUUAUUUACUGAGAGAUGCAUAUCGGCCAGUCUGCCAGCUAAUCAACAUUUUAAAUUCAAUAUUUAAUCAACAGUCAGUGUCGGUCCAUUGCUUUCCAUCUUGGUCCAGAGUUGUAACCUUGACAGAGAGGCAGAUCAAAUGAGUCCACAGAGUCCACUGCUGCUGGAAAGGGAGUAGCUGAUGAACCCGAACACAUUGUGAUAGGCCCUGAUAUCUGGAGUUCACUCAGAGCUGGAAGACCUGCACAGACCACGAGACCCAAUGCCCAGCGAGGUUAGCAACACAGACUGCAGAGAGAGGUGGUCUUAUGGGAGGCGGCAAGCAAAGGUGAAAAGUAACGCCCGGUUCAAAGUCAGAUUCGAUGAGCUGAUCCACACUGGGUCGCUGGGAGCAGCUGAGCGGAAACAGGCGGCUACGGCUCGGGAAGGGUCACAAGAAGAAAAGGAUUACCAGAAAGGACAAAACAUGUUGUGAGGUGGCAGCAACAAGCAGUAAAUCUGAAUCAGAAUCAGUUCUGUUGGCCAGGUGUGUGUCGCUUACAAGGAAGUGGACCCUUUAUGUUGCUCUCAGUGUUACACAGAAACAACUACAAACAAGGACAGCAAGCUCGA